AGGCCGUUGGUAAGUCGGGAGAUCUCCUCCUCGAGCCUAGCAUCCUGGUCGACCGACGACUUCAGCUGAUCGACCAACGUCGCCUUCUCAGCUUCGACUGCCUCGACCCUAUUCUUCCAAGCCACUCAGAGAUCGUCGAACCUCCGAUACCCGGCCUCCAGCUCGGACAUGUUGUAGAUUAGCUGCUAGUAACAGGCCGAUUGUCAGAAGAUAGAACUAAUAGAAAAUAAUAAUGAAAAUGAAAAGGGAAGAAGAGGAGCUCACCUGAAUCAUAGUCGGG
rnacentral:lncRNA from 1 species